rnacentral:rRNA from 1 species
CCUACGCGAGGCAGCAGUGAGGAAUAUUGGUCAAUGGGCGUAAGCCUGAACCAGCCAAGUCGCGUGAGGGAUGAAGGUUCUAUGGAUCGUACACCUCUUUUAUAAGGGAAUAAAGUGUGGGACGUGUCCUAUUUUGUAUGUACCUUAUGAAUAAGGAUCGGCUAACUCCGUGCCAGCAGCCGCGGUAAUACGGAGGAUCCGAGCGUUAUACGGAUUUAGUGGGUUUAAAGGGUGCGUAGGUGGCCUUUUAAGUCAGCGGUGAAAGUCUGUGGCUCAACCAUAGAAUUGCCGUUGAAACUGGGGGGCUUGAGUAGGUUUGAGGCAGGAGGAAUGCGUGGUGUAGCGGUGAAAGGCUUAGAUAUCACGCAGAACCCCGAUGGCGAAGGCAGCCUGCCAAGCCAUGACUGACGCUGAUGCACGAAAGCGUGGGGAUCAAACAGGAGUAGAUACCCCAGUAGUC